rnacentral:rRNA from 1 species
CCUACGGGAGGCAGCAGUGGGGGAUAUUGCACAAUGGGGGGAACCCUGAUGCAGCGACGCCGCGUGGAGGAAGAAGGGCCUCUGCGCGUAAAGCCCUGUCAGCAGGGAAGAAAAUGACGGUACCUGAAGAAGAAGCCCCGGCUAACUACGUGCCAGCAACCGCGGUAAUACGUAGGGAGCAAGCGUUAUCCGGAUUUACUGGGUGUAAAGGGGGCGCAGACGGCGGUGCAAGCCAGGAGUGAAAGCCCGGGGCCCAACCCCGGGACUGCUUUUGAAACUGCGUGGCUGGAGUGCAGUAGGGGUAGGCGGAAUGCCUGGUGUAGCGGUGAAAUGCGUAGAGAUCAGGAGGAACACCGGUGGCGAAGGCGGCCUGCUGGACUGCAACUGACGUUGAGGCACGAAAGCGUGGGGAGCAAACAGGAUUAGAUACCCCUGUAGUC